rnacentral:rRNA from 1 species
AAACCAGUACCUCAAGUGGUCAGGAGGAUUAUUGGGCCUAAAGCAUCCGUAGCCUGUUCUAUAAGUUUCCGGUUAAAUCCAUUAGCUCAACUAAUGGGCCGCCGAAAAUACUGUAGAACUAGGGAGUGGGAGAGGUAGACGGUAUUCGGUAGGAAGGGGUAAAAUCCUUUGAUCUAUUGAGGACCACCUGUGGCGAAGGCGGUCUACCAGAACACGUUCGACGGUGAGGGAUGAAAGCUGGGGGAGCAAACCGGAUUAGAAACCCCUGUAGUCC